UACGUAGGGGGCGAGCGUUAUCCGGAUUCAUUGGGCGUAAAGCGCGCGUAGGCGGCCAGUUAGGUCGGGAGUCAAAUUUCGGGGCUCAACCCCGUCUCGCUCCCGAUACCGGCUGGCUUGAGUGUGGUAGGGGAAGGCGGAAUUCCCGGUGUAGCGGUGGAAUGCGCAGAUAUCGGGAAGAACACCGAUGGCGAAGGCAGAUCUCUGGGCCGCAACCGACGCUGAGGCGCGAAAGCUAGGGGAGCGAACAGG
rnacentral:rRNA from 1 species